rnacentral:rRNA from 1 species
GACGAACGCUGGCGGCGUGCUUAACACAUGCAAGUCGAACGGAAAGGCCCUGCUUUGGUGGGGGGCUCGAGUGGCGAACGGGUGAGUAACACGUGAGUAACCUUCCCUUGACUUUGGGAUAACUUCAGGAAACUGGGGCUAAUACCGGAUAGGAGCUCCUGCUGCAUGGUGGGGGUUGGAAAGUUUCGGCGGUUGGGGAUGGACUCGCGGCUUAUCAGCUUGUUGGUGGGGUAGUGGCUUACCAAGGCUUUGACGGGUAGCCGGCCUGAGAGGGUGACCGGCCACAUUGGGCCUGAGAUACGGCCCAGACUCCUACGGGAGGCAGCAGUGGGGAAUAUUGCACAAUGGGCGGAAGCCUGAUGCAGCAACGCCGCGUGCGGGAUGACGGCCUUCGGGUUGUAAACCGCUUUCGCCUGUGACGAAGCGUGAGUGACGGUAAUGGGUAAAGAAGCACCGGCUAACUACGUG